AUUGAACGCUGGCGGCAGGCCUAACACAUGCAAGUCGAGCGAGCGGCGGACGGGUGCGUAAUGUCUGGGAAACUGCCUGAUGGAGGGGGAUAACUACUGGAAACGGUAGCUAAUACCGCAUACCAUCAGAUGUGCCCAGGUUGGAUUAGCUAGUAGGUGGGGUAACGGCGCACCUAGGCGACGAUCCCUAGCUGGUCUGAGAGGAUGACCAGGCAAACUGGAACUGAGAAACGGUCCAUACUCCUACGGGAGGCAGCAGUGGGGAAUAUUGCACAAUGGGCGCAAGCCUGAUGCAGCCAUGCCGCGUGUGUGAAGAAGGCCUUCGGGUUGUAAAGCACUUUCAGCGGGGAGGCGUUACCCGCAGAAGAAGCACCGGCUAACUCCGUGCCAGCAGCCGCGGUAAUUC
rnacentral:rRNA from 1 species